AUGUGUAUCCAUCAUCCAACUCAGAGUGAUGCAGGAGCUAAUGGGGAUGGCUCUUCAUGAAGAGGUAGAGUUUCAAACUCCAGGGAAGACACAGUAAUACUGCCCAUUCUCCAGGACUCAAGUCUCCAGCCAGUAUUCAGUCCAUUAUGUAACCUUAUCCUUCAGACCUAUGAUGCAAGUAAGUCCACCUCCUCCUGUCUCUUGUCUCUUUCUUUCACUAUAAAACGUCUUAGACCCGCCUCUCCUUUGAAGUACGGUUUCAUCACGUUGAAUUAAUUUUCAAAAUAGACUACUCUAUCCUUUCUGAUCA